rnacentral:siRNA from 1 species
AGACGUACAGAAAAAUUGGCAA